GGGGCGGUUAAUUUUACAACCUGUUGAUAUACAAGGAGAUACGACGGCCUGCAAAGCCGUUUAGGCCGGUUCGACUCCGGCUCGCGCCUCCA
rnacentral:tRNA from 1 species